AGACAUGUUCUAGGCUGUGACACUUACUGAGGCUGCGGCGAACAUUCUUCAGCUUCACUGCCGUCCCGUUCUUAGAGGCUUGCGAAAACGCGAGCUUUUUGCUGGAGACACGCUAUGAAGAUAGCCUUCUACGGCAGAAUCCUCCACUUUGCGCGCUUUUGCGGGGCUGGCCAUGGUCAACUUGCUUCUCCGGCGUCCGUGCAGCAAUGAUGCACCAAUGAAGAGGACACACUGCUGCGAAGGCUCUGCUAAUUUCUGAAAUAGACUCUCACUGCAGACCACAACAUCCAGGGGGCGUUGUUAGAUCCAGAUCCAACCAAUCCCUCGUUAUAUUUACCUAAACCUACUCCUAAUCCCUAAACUCACCCUUCACUCCUAAACCCACCCUUCUCCAGUCCCUUCUCCACUCCUAAACCCACCCAUCUCCACUCCUAAACCCACCCAUCUCCACUUCUAAACCCACCCUUCUCCAGUCCCUUCUCCACUCCUAAACCCACCCAUCUCCACUCCUAAACCCACCCAUCUCCACUUCUAAACCCACCCUUCUCCAGUCCCUUCUCCACUCCUAAACCCACCCUUCUCCACUCCAUACAACCACACCCCUUGUAUGUUGUAGUCUGAAGCAAGUCUUACUUGGAUAUUUCAGAACUUAUCAGAGCUGACUACUGCAGAAAGUCUCUGACCGAUGGGUGGUCUCACCAUCUGUCUCAUCUGCAGUCAAAGAAAAGAGUCCCAUGGAGCCAGCUGUGGUUCAAAAACCAUCCUUGAGGUAUUUUUAUAUUUCAGUUUGACAUCUAAAUACCCACAUCUUCAAUAUUAAGCAUCUUGUAUUCUGCCUUCUUUCCUGUAUGUUUUUUUUUACACUUCCAG